GUGAGGAAUUUUGCGCAAUGGGGGCAACCCUGACGCAGCAACGCCGCGUGAGUGAUGAAGGCCUUCGGGUCGUAAAGCUCUGUCAGGUGGGAAGAACCUAUUACAUGUGAACAGUAUGUGAUACUGACGGUACCACUGAAGGAAGCACCGGCUAACUCCGUGCCAGCAGCCGCGGUAAUACGGAGGGUGCAAGCGUUAUUCGGAUUUACUGGGCGUAAAGGGCGCGUAGGCGGUUUAGCAAGUCAGAUGUGAAAUCCCGGGGCUUAACCCCGGAAGUGCAUCUGAUACUGUUAGGCUUGAGUAUGGUAGAGGGAAGUGGAAUUCCUGGUGUAGCGGUGAAAUGCGUAGAUAUCAGGAGGAACACCGGUGGCGAAGGCGACUUCCUGGACCAAAACUGACGCUGAGGCGCGAAGGUGUGGGGAGCAAACAGGAUUAGAAACCCUGGUAGUCC
rnacentral:rRNA from 1 species